GACGAACGCUGGCGGCGUGCUUAACACAUGCAAGUCGAACGGAAAGGCCCUGCUUUUGUGGGGUGCUCGAGUGGCGAACGGGUGAGUAACACGUGAGUAACCUGCCCUUGACUUUGGGAUAACUUCAGGAAACUGGGGCUAAUACCGGAUAGGAGCUCCUGCUGCAUGGUGGGGGUUGGAAAGUUUCGGCGGUUGGGGAUGGACUCGCGGCUUACCAGCUUGUUGGUGGGGUAGUGGCUUACCAAGGCUUUGACGGGUAGCCGGCCUGAGAGGGGGACCGGCCACAUUGGGACUGAGAGACGGCCCAGAGUCCUACGGGAGGCAGCAGGGGGGAAUAUUACACAAUGGGCGGAAGCCUGAUGCAGAAACGCCGCGUGCGUGAUGACGGCCUUCGGGUUGUAAACCGCUUUCGCCUGUGACGAAGCGUGAGUGACGGUAAUGGGUAAAGAAGCACCGGCUAACUACGUG
rnacentral:rRNA from 1 species